ACGCCAUUAGCUCAGAUGGAUAGAGCAUCUGCCUUCUAAGUAGAUGGUCACGGGUUCGAAUCCUGUAUGGCGUACCA
rnacentral:tRNA from 1 species